UCUGCUCAUUAAUGCCGCUUCCUCAGACACCUACAUUCAAAAAACCAAGAAGUUGUACAUCGACAGCCGAGCCAGAAGGAACCUGGGCAGCAUCAACACUGAGCUGCAGGACGUGCAGAGGAUCAUGGUGGCGAACAUCGAGGAGGUCCUGCAGAGAGGGGAGGCGCUCUCUGCACUAGACUCCAAGGCCAGCAACUUGUCCAGCCUGUCGAAGAAAUACAGGAGCGACGCCAAAUACCUGAACACCCGCUCCACUUACGCCAAGCUGGCAGCAGGGGGCGUCUUUUUCAUCAUGCUCAUCGUUUACAUUCGCUUCUGGUGGCUCUGAGUGAUGAAAGGGGAGGAGGAGAUGAGGAAGGAGGUAGAAAAGUGGAAAAUGAGCCGUGCGCAGCCUGCGGACGUGAAAAAGAAGCUUUCGCUUUUGAUGAACAACAAGAUCCCUGCUUCUUAAGGAGACUUUACAGACAUACUGUCCCACUGCUCUGUCCUCACCUUGUCCACGAGUGGGUGUCUGAUCUGAAGCUAAAUGAUGUCCGAAUGCUUUGUUUUAUUAUUAUCAUACCGUAUAAUACCCUUGAAGUUGCCCCGCAUUUCAGAGUUAACGAGUUAACGUGCGAGUCUCUGUGUGUAUGUGGGUUGGCUGUUUUUGAAGGUGAUUUGUGGGUAAGUGAUGAGAAAAAAAAAGAAAAUUUCCUGUGUUAAUAGUUUCUAAAGCUAUUCUGUACUAUAAAUGAGUGUGUGGCUGAAGCUUCUGUAUGUCUAAUUAUACAGAUGAAAGAAACUAAUCACCUUCUUUUUCUUAGAAGCCUGAUCACAUCACUUUGGCAGUUCUGUUCAUUUACUAUACGAUUAUAGUAGGGAUAGCUUUACGGAUUAUACUCCGAAUUCAUAAAUAAUUAGGAAAAUGUAAAUAGAGAUACAUAUUAGACACAACAAAGGAAAAUGCAGAACUUCCUAUUGUUAAGGCAAGUAAAUAAACCAUUCUGAUUUUUG